AUGGUGUGCUGGAACGUUAGGGGACUAAAUAGCCCUGCGAAACGGAAAGCACUUAGGGAGUUUGUAGAUUCAAUUCAUACUGCCAUCAUGUGUAUCUUAGAGACUAAGUUGGAGGUGGUCGAUCAGUUUGUAAUAAUGCAACGCCUUGGUCCGGCGUAUGAUGGUUUCUUUUAUCUCCCGGCCACUAACACCCGUGGAGGUAUUUUCGUGGCG
rnacentral:rRNA from 1 species